rnacentral:rRNA from 1 species
AUUGAACGCUUGCGGCAGGCCUAACACAUGCAAGUCGAACGAGAGGCGGACGGGUGAGUAAUGUCUGGGAAACUGCCUGAUGGAGGGGGAUAACUACUGGAAACGGUAGCUAAUACCGCAUACCAUCGGAUGUGCCCCGAUGGGAUUAGCUAGUAGGUGGGGUAACGGCUCACCUUGGCGACGAUCCCUAGAUGGUCUGAGAGGAUGACCAGCCACACUGGAACUGAGACACGGUCCAGACGCCUACGGUAGGCAGCAUUGGGGAAUAUUGCACAAUGGGCGCAAGCCUGAUGCAGCCAUGCCGCGUGUAUGAAGAAGGCCUUCGGGUUGUAAAGUACGUUCAGCGGGGAGGCGUUACGCGCAGAAGAAGCACCGGCUAACUCCGUGCCAGCAGCCGCGGUAAUAC